CUACACGGGUUUCUAAUCCUGUUUGCUCCCCACGCUUUCGCGCCUCAGCGUCAGUUAAUGUCCAGCAAGCCGCCUUCGCCACUGGUGUUCCUCCGUAUAUCUACGCAUUUCACCGCUACACACGGAAUUCCGCUUGCCUCUCCAUCACUCAAGAAAUGCAGUUUCAAAUGCAGUUCGAGGGUUGAGCCCCCGGAUUUCACACCUGACUUGCAUCCCCGCCUACGCGCCCUUUACACCCAGUAAAUCCGGACAACGCUCGCCACCUACGUAUUACCGCGGCUGCUGGCAC
rnacentral:rRNA from 1 species